rnacentral:misc_RNA from 1 species
GAAAUGCGAUAAGUAAUGUGAAUUGCAGAAUUCAGUGAAUCAUCGAAUCUUUGAACGCACAUUGCGCCUAUUAGUAUUCUAGUAGGCAUGCCUGUCCGAGCGUCAUUUCAACCAUCAAGCCCCCGGGCUUGUGUUGGGGACCUGCGGCUGCCCGCAGGCCCUGAAAACCAGUGGCGGGCUCGCUGUCACACCGAGCGUAGUAGCAAUCACCUCGCUCAGGGCGUGCUGCGGGUUCCGGCCGUUAAACAGCCUUACAAAACCCAAGGUUGACCUCGGAUCAGGUAGGAAGACCCGCUGAACUUAAGC